AUGAUCGCCACUGCUGAUAGAUGUAGUAUUGAGUUCUUCCUGAUACUGAGCAGCCGCACAAAAUAUCCGACCUUGACAGGAUGUUCACUCGAAGCUCCGAUCUGAUCCAUCUUCUCUUGAGUGCUAGCUCAUGCAAAGGCCAACAGAUAGUUGAUUUUUCUCCUUCUAAUCUCUUGGACUCUUCUAGAUCUAAAGAUGGAACAAUAGAAGGAUGUGGUGGUAGAUGAAGAAUAGAAGAAGAUUCUUUUCUUUUCUUCUCACAAAGCCCUAGAGACAAAAUCCUAAGGAACCCAGCCUAGAACCUCAUGCCUAA
rnacentral:lncRNA from 1 species